UACGGAGGGUGCAAGCGUUAUCCGGAUUCACUGGGUUUAAAGGGUGUGUAGGCGGGCAUGUAAGUCAGUGGUGAAAUCUCCGGGCUCAACCUGGAAACUGCCAUUGAUACUAUAUGUCUUGAAUUUUGUUGAGGUUGGCGGAAUAAGUCAUGUAGCGGUGAAAUGCAUAGAUAUGACUUAGAACACCGAUUGCGAAGGCAGCUAACUAAGCAAAUAUUGACGCUGAGGCACGAAAGCGUGGGGAUCAAACAGG
rnacentral:rRNA from 1 species